CUACGGGUUGCUCCAGUGGGGAAUAUUGCACAAUGGGCGCAAGCCUGAUGCAGCAACGCCGCGUGAGGGAUGAAGGCCUUCGGGUUGUAAACCUCUUUUAGCAGGGAAGAAGCGAAAGUGACGGUACCUGCAGAAAAAGCACCGGCUAACUACGUGCCAGCAGCCGCGGUAAUACGUAGGGUGCAAGCGUUGUCCGGAAUUAUUGGGCGUAAAGAGCUCGUAGGCGGUUUGUCACGUCUGCUGUGAAAAUCCAAGGCUCAACCUUGGACUUGCAGUGGGUACGGGCAGGCUAGAGUGCGGUAGGGGAGAUAGGAAUUCCUGGUGUAGCGGUGGAAUGCGCAGAUAUCAGGAGGAACACCAAUGGCGAAGGCACAUCUCUGGGCCGUAACUGACGCUGAGGAGCGAAAGCGUGGGGAGCGAACAGGAUUAGAUACCCCCGUAGUC
rnacentral:rRNA from 1 species